AGGGUGAAUUGUAAGAAUAACCUA
rnacentral:siRNA from 1 species